rnacentral:rRNA from 1 species
GACGAACGCUGGCGGCGUGCUUAACACAUGCAAGUCGUACGGUAAGGCCCUUUCGGGGGUACACGAGUGGCGCACGGGUGAGUAACACGUGAGUAACCUGCCCACAACUUUGGGAUAACGCUAGGAAACUGGUGCUAAUACUGGAUAUGUUCUCCUGCUGCAUGGUGGGGGUUGGAAAGCUCCGGCGGUUGUGGAUGGACUCGCGUCCUAUCAGCUUGUUGGUGGGGUAGUGGCCUACCAAGGCGGCGACGGGUAGCCGGCCUGAGAGGGUGACCGGCCACAUUGGGACUGAGAUACGGCCCAGACGCCUACGGGAGUCAGAAGGGGGGAAGAGUGCACAAUGGGCGCAAGCCUGAUGCAGCAACGCCGCGUGCGGGAUGACGGCCUUCGGGUUGAAAACCGCUUUCAGCAGGGACGAAGCUUUUUGUGACGGUACCUGCAGAAGAAGCACCGGCUAACUACGUG